AUGAAAAAGAAAUCAAAUAUAUAUAUUUUUUAUGUUGGAGGCAUUUCUGCUGCUCCUUGGCAGGAAGGAAAGAAGGAGAAUGUUAACGGGUAUUCUUUCUUCCAAAGUGCACCGCGUAUAGGAAGGACGCGAGCAUCAAUAUUUCAUCCUUGCUUCGCCUGCCAGCAUCCCGCUCCCUCCUCCCUGCUUCUCACCGGCUCUAGGGCCCGGAGAGCUGGGCCACGCUGGCCUGACCCAGGGCGUCAUCACAGAUGUCCACGCUGCCUUCAGCUUGCCCGCCGUGCCAUCGUGGACUCCAGAGUCUGCGCAAGAAGCCGCCCUUCUGAACCAGGUGUCGUUGGUUUUUUCCCACCUCCCAGGCCUAGGCAGGUGGAUAAAGGAAGCAGCGUGGGUGUUCAGGAGCACACAUCCCUCCGGCCAGCCCCCAGCCUGUCUCAUCUUGUCCACUUGAGGUCACAGAGGAAUGCGCUGUGCUCUGCCAGGGGGGUCCUGGCAGAGUGUGGAGCUGGGAUGGAAGCAGUUACUCUCAGGAGGACUUUGGGCAGACUGUGGUCCUUUCUCAGGCUGGUGGCCAGCUCUUCAUUUCUGUGUUGGGACUGGGGUUGAGGGUGCCUGCUGAGGUGAGCCCCUGGGGGAAUUGCUGUGUCUGGCACCAAACUCCCCCUCCCUCCAUGAGGGCCAGGUGGGGCGUCCCACUCCCCUCCUUUCCUCACCCCCCAUACCUGAUCCAUCAGGAGUGCCUGCCCCCUAAGCCCCCCAGUACUGCUGAAAUCCAGCCUCUUUGACUGUCAGCUGCCACCCUGCCCAUGCCCCUCCACCUGGUCUCCACUCCCUCCCAUGUCCCCUGCAGUCUGUGCUCGGCACAGCUGCUGUGAGCCCACCUGGCCGUGCCUGGCUCACCUGUGCCAGCGGCCUGAGCACACAGGCCGGCAGGCUCCCCGGGGCCUCUGUGCCUUUUCUUUCCCAGGUGUCCUCCUGGCUCACUGUCACCUCCUUCAGGUCUCUGCCCAAGUGUCACUCAGCCCCACCCCUCAACAAUGUACUUUGAAUUUUCCCCCCAGCAUCUAACAUGCUGGUUACUCAGUUAUCCACGCUCACACAGUAAAAGCUCCCUGAGGGCAGGAAACACUAAUAUUUCAUUCACAGAUUCAUCUCAGAGUAGUGCUCCCUAGGAAGGGCUCAAUAAAUGUUGUGGAGUCUCAAUGAAUGAAUGUGUGAGUGAAUGAAUGAGUGCAUAAAUGAACAAAUGUGUCAGUGAAUAAAUGAUUUAAGUGAAUGGAUGAAUGAACAAGUAAGUGGGUAAACAAGUGAGUGAAUGAGUGAGUGAAGGAAUGAAUGAAUUCCCCCCAAGAGUAUUCCAUGGCCCACUUAGGAUGGCCCACAGACAAUAAUUUUUCUCUUAGACCUAUGCACUGGGAAAACGUUAGCCUGUGUUGAGAAACUGAUGUUCACUCAUUCACUUACUCAGUGUAUUUAUGGAGAACCCACAGUGUGUCAGGCCUGUCCAAGGUGUUGUGGGAGUGGUAAGGGACAAAUUGGGUGGGCAUGUUUGUUUUCUAGUGCUGAGUAUUCAUCUUCAGGGUCCCUGCGGGGGUUGUCACUGUUUUCCUUUCUGCUUUGGCUGCCCCCAAGCCCAGAGCUAAGUUUGUGAAUUUUCUGAGUACUAAAACUGCCCCUUUGAUCUCUCUUUGUUAUUCUACUUUUCUUCUCCCUGAAUCUUGUUUCUGAUCUUUUCAGAUUCAGAAAAGGGACGUUCUUCCCAGGUCCGUGUGGUGUCUGGUGGGCCGGCUCAGGACACCAGGAGGUGGCUGGCUGGGGACCAGUGCUUCCUCCUGGUCCCUCUUCUGCACCUCUCUGGCUCUCUGUCUCUGGCAUCUUCACCUCUAGCUCUGUGGCUCUGCUGCCUGCUUCCUUCAGUCCCUUCUGGACCUGCCUUCUCACUGGCAUGGCUGAAGAUGGGGCCCCGCUACUCUUUCGCUUUGAUGAAAUAAAUCAUUUGUACGUUAAAUCUUAUUUACGCAUUCUUGUAAACUACUUCAGACUCUUUUGGCAGCAAGAUGUACAUAGAUUACUGCUUAGGGAUGAGUGCGCAUAUGUGUGUGUGGGGGGUGGGGUGGGGCUGGCUCUCCCUGGAGAGAAGGGGCCAAGAGGAGACAGGACUCCCCAGAGGGAGGAAGCUGAAGUGACAAACCUCCUGUGCCGGAGGAGGGUCCUGCCUGCCAGCCCUCCUGACAGGCCCUCUUUAAGAGUCAAUUUGAUCUGCUCAGCCACAGCCCAGUGAUCACUUGGCCCUGGUGUAUUUCAUCACCAGCCUGCUGUCUCCUGAUAAAUUCCCCCUCCCAAGCCCCCGCUGGCCAGUCUUGGGCUUCACAGCCUCAUUCCGGGAUCAAAUCAUGGACCAUUUGUCCUUGGCCCCCUCUUACCAUCACUGGGGCUGGCGUGACCUCUGCAUCUGAAGUUAGGGGACAGGAGAAGGGAUAGAUGGGCUUGAGCAAUUGGCACAGAGGGCCAGAGGUGGGGGACAUUCAGGGGACGAUGAGGAGGCUUUGGCUGGGGGGUGGGAUGCUGGCCAAUGGGUCACAGAUGUACCCGUGUCUCUCAGUCUUGAACCACAGCUUCCCUCCAUCAUCACUGCAGCUUUGAACAACUAAACUAGACUCUUGGGGGUUGGGCAGGGGUGUGACCAAGAGAGAAGGGGGCUUUGGCCUGAAAACCAGAGGCAAAGGCACCCUCACUGUGGGCUCGUGUUUGGAGGGUCUCACCCUGACCCUUAGCCUCCUGCCCCUAACAUACCCUGUGGUCUCAGAAGGGGAGCCUCAGUAGGGGUAGCAACUUCCUUGGUGCCAUUGCUGAGGCUGUAAGAGGUCACUGCUAAUAGUUACGUACCUCUAAACAAGUUAAGUAACUUCUCUGUGCCUCAGUGUUAGCAUCUGCACAUUGGGGAUAAGGCUUCUCACAGAGUUGUUGUAAAGAUUAAGAUUACCUAAAAAUUCAGCAGAAUGUCUGCAUACAGUAAGUACUCAGUAAGUGGUAGCCACUAUUAUUAUCAUUUGUGACACUCUAGAAGGUCCUUCCCACCCCUGUAUCUCUUUCUUACAUGCAUAGCUUAAAAGUCCUUCUCUGCUUAUUUCUUUGAAUGAUAGUUCUUCCAAAGCUCCAAUGAAGAAACUCAAAAUAGCACUUGACAAGACCGUGUGAAGGUUAAGAACAGGGACUUGAGGUCUAAUGCUUCACCUCGUCUGCUGUGUGGCCUUGGGCAGCUCCCUAGCCUCUCUGAGCCUUGAUUCUUUUUCUUUUGAUGAGAUAACAGAUCCAGAUGUGGGCUUCAUUUUUUUUCUUCCAAUAUUUAUUUUUAAAUAUUUGGCUUCACCGGGUCUUAGUUGCUACAUGUAGAUUCUUUAGUUGUGGCUUGUGAACUCUUAGUUGCAGAUGUGGGAUCUAUUAAUAGUUCCUGACCAGGAAUUGGGAGUGUGGAGUCUUAGCCUCUGGACCAUCAGGGAAAUCCCUCUAGGGUUCUUUUGAACACGAAACAAGAUCAAGUGUUUAAGACAUUCAGCGUGGUGUGCGGCGUGGCCUGCGUGGUUGAGCAACAGGAGGCUGUCACUUUGCAAGGUGCUGGUCACACAUCACUGCAUCAAGGCUGCCCUCAAUUCUGAGCCGGCAGUGCAGGGUUCACCACGCCCCUGCUGGGGGAGAAGACUGAGGUCAUGAGAGGGGAAGUGACUUUCCAAGCUGGGCUGGACCUUGGCCUCCCGGCUUGGAUACUGGCCUUCAGAGCCUGGCUCAGGUGGCCAUCACUCUUGAAGUGAUGUGAGGAAUCAGAGGCUUUGCUCCUGACCUGAGGCCAGGAGGGAGGGAAGGGGGCCGGCAGGGGCAGUUGUAGGUCUGAGUGUGAGGUUACAGAUGGGGCUGGGGAGGGGACUUCAGGAGUCACAGCGAACCUUCCCCUUCACAUCUUUGCCCCAACCCAGCCCACUCUUUGCUGCUGUGUGAGCGACCCCAUGCACCCUCCUCCUGCAGCUCCCAGGGCUUUGCUCUGGGCUCAGGGGCAGUGGGUGGCUAGAAUAGAGCCCUUCCGCAGGACUGGAAGUGGUGUGUCUGCCCUCUGCCCCCUGGGGCAUGGCCUUCUCUGGUGCCUCCCAGGCUCAGGAGGCUAGAGACUGGCCCUGACCCAGGGAAAAGCUUUAGACAUGAUUUCAUUUUUUAUUGAGAUUGUAAGUGGUGGGGGAAAAGACAAGUAAAAAAAUAGCCCAUCUGGGCUGAGCAGGGGAGAAAGCAAUUUCCUUCUGAAAUCUCCUUUUCUCUGAUUCUCAAAAUAUUAGAAGAAAAUUUAGAAAUGUCUUGGUGCCUCUGGCUGGGGUGUGGGCCAGACCACCUAAGAGUCACUAGGGUGGGGUCCAGAGAGGUGGCUGGGGAGUGGUGAGGAGGAACCAAGGCCUUUUGAGUUCCAGUCCAAGCCUCAAGGCCAGGCGGGGUGGGUGGGGUGGGGGUGGGUGGAGGGUGGGGUGGGGGGAUCGUGGGGCAGAGGGAGCGCUGAGGAUGGAGGGUGACAGGGACUGGCAGGGGUCGGAGGUCCUGGUGGGCAGAAGGGAGGAGGAAGAAACAGCAGAGACUCCCAGGCUGCUGGGGCCGGGGGUCAUCCAGCACCUAAAGGAAGUCCGUGCCUGGGGUCAGCGUCUCAGGAGAUCUCAUGGGGCAGAAGCACAGAUCCAUCCUGAAGGACAGGACGUUCUAAUCCCCUUCCUGGAAGGACCCACAGGUGCUGGGUAGUCAGGUGGUCCCUCGGAGGCCUUGUCAGGGACUGCAGGGCAAGCGUGGUAAAGGGCCAGCCUGAGCCUGUCCUCUCGGGCCAUUCUCCACGUUCCCCAGAUGCCCCCUCCUCAGCCUCUGCUUCUGUGAGUGGGCGUGGUCCAGUAGGCAUGGCAUAGCUGUGAGGAUUCCAGCUUGGGGGGCAGAAUGGGCCCUAGCGGGUGGGGCAGAAAUAGAGGCUGAGGCUCACUGUAGGGGCUUCCUCUGGUCUUGUCCUUUCCUAUGACAUGGUGCUAACCCCAUGUCCUAAAGCACCAACCCUCCAACUAACCCAUCAGCCACCAGAGUCUGCCAACUUGCCAAUUAAGCCAUCACCUCACUAACCAAUCCAGGAACCACCAGCCAGCACAUCACCUACUGUACCUGGUGCCAUUACACCACCCUGGCAACCCUCUAAGCAGCUACCAACCAACCCACCAACCAGAAAACCCACCAACCCGUCUGCCAACUCAGCUGCUCUCCCACCACUCUACCACCCCACUAACCAGCCUAUCAACCAACUCACCAGUCAACCCAUACCUCACCGUCCAAUCUGAAGAUAGAAGCUACACAGUAAUUGAACAGGAAAGGCUUGGUAUAAAGAAUUACUGACUGGAAUAGGGGCUGACUUACUAAGGGUUACCUACUGUCUGUUUUAAUAGGAGACUGAUUUGCUUACUCUAAAGAAACAUGGGAAUAGCAGCUGUGGG
rnacentral:lncRNA from 1 species